UACGGAGGGAGCUAGCGUUAUUCGGAAUUACUGGGCGUAAAGCGCACGUAGGCGGCUUUGUAAGUUAGAGGUGAAAGCCCUGGUGCUCAACACCAGAACUGCCUUUGAUACUGCAUCGCUUGAAUCCAGGAGAGGUGAGUGGAAUUCCGAGUGUAGAGGUGAAAUUCGUAGAUAUUCGGAAGAACACCAGUGGCGAAGCGGCUCACUGGACUGGUAUUGACGCUGAGGUGCGAAAGCGUGGGGAGCAA
rnacentral:rRNA from 1 species